UGUCAGCUAUCAGGCUGAUAACUGAUCUGUCUACUUACCCCGAACAUUAAAUUAGUUUGAAUAUAGAUGUUCUUUACAUUCUGCCCUUUUCGAUGCUCCUUUUCUCUUCUCAUUUAAGUACCAGGAGGAGCUCUUCUUUCUGAGGGUGAACAAGAUCCUCUGAUUCCUCCACCUCGCGGUGCCUUUUGGAGAGUGACUUCUUUGUUGCUGCUGGCUGAAUGAUUGCUCAUUCGUUCCUCCAUGAUGGGCCGGGCCUUGGAGGACUCAGCCCAGCUGUUCUGCAUGUGCUCUUUGGUGGAAGCCCAGAAGAAGUCAUGAUGAAAAUAUCAAGGACUGUGCUGACCUCGAUAUCCGCAAGACAGUCAAAGUGGUAAUGUACAUUUUUACAGAAAGAUUGGAAUGAUACCGAUUUGGGGCAAGUAAUACCUGAUGUCAGAUAUAUAACACUAAAAUCACACUGUUUGCUCAUUUAAACCAGCGUGCUGAAGCAAUAUUUAAAGCAUGUAAUUAUAGUGACUGAUAAUUAAGUAAAAUGUGUUUUUUGAGGAUGUGAUGAGAAAUGAGAUUAUUUUACAUGUGGUUUAAGAUCUCAGGCUGUUGUCAGCCGUGUAAUUGAAGGUUAUUGACAAGUUGUUCUAUCGCAAUUUAUUCUAUAGAUUCUGAAUAUAAUGCAAAUCUUGAGAAAUGAGACAAUCUAUUCUAAUGGUCCUUAUUAGCUGGAGGGUACAGAAGAAUUGUCAUCUGAAGGAAAGAACAAUACUAAUGAGUUGUCACUGUCUUGGGAUUUGCCUCAAGUCACAUGUGAGAACAGAAGAUGCUGCUGGACAAGCUGAUGCUCCACGCAGUACUUGGAAGAAGCUCAAGACGGGUUAAACAGUUACGAAGGGGCUUAAAAGAGACGCUGAUCUGGCCUUUGCUAACUGAGAGGAAAGACACAAUUCCCCUCCUCUUUCCAAGAGCAUGUGAUGUACAGCGCACACCACAGCAUCUGUCAGCAUCCUUGGGAAACUCCUACAGUUGUGGAUAGGAUGGAAUGUGCUCCCCAGACACCAGCUGGAUAUCAGCGUGGUGGAGAGCAACUUCUCCACUUCCUCCACCUGCUUCCACCAGCUGAAGCUUCCAGUACAAAGACUACUGCCACUCUGAAAUG